ACUUUUGGGAGCUUGCUCCCGAAAGUUAGCGGCGGACGGGUGAGUAACACGUGGGCAACCUGCCUAUAAGACUGGGAUAACUUCGGGAAACCGGAGCUAAUACCGGAUAAUUCUUUUCUACUCAUGCAGAAAAGCUAAAAGACGGCUUACGCUGUCACUUAUAGAUGGGCCCGCGGCGCAUUAGCUAGUUGGUGAGGUAACGGCUCACCAAGGCGACAAUGCGUAGCCGACCUGAGAGGGUGAUCAGCCACACUGGGAUUUUCUCCUCGGCCCAGAAUCCUACGGGAGGCAUNCUCCAUCUUGUGAUAAACUCGAGCCUCCUCGCNAUAGGCG
rnacentral:sRNA from 1 species